rnacentral:rRNA from 1 species
UGGGGAAUCUUGCACAAUGGGGGCAACCCUGAUGCAGCGACGCCGCGUGAGCGAUGAAGCCCUUCGGGGCGUAAAGCUCUUUCGACCGGAACGAUAAUGACGGUACCGGGAGAAGAAGCUGCGGCUAACUACGUGCCAGCAGCCGCGGUAAUACGUAGGCAGCAGGCGUUGUUCGGAGUUACUGGGCGUAAAGAGUGCGUAGGCGGUUUUCUAAGUUCGGUGUGAAAUCUCCCGGCUUAACUGGGAGGGUGCGCCGAAGACUGGGAAGCUGGAGUGUGGGAAAGGCAGGCGGAAUUCCUGGUGUAGCGGUGAAAUGCGUAGAUAUCAGGAGGAACACCGGCGAUGUAGACGGCUUGCUAGACCAUAACUGACGCUGAGGCACGAAAGCGUGGGUAGCAAACA